rnacentral:rRNA from 1 species
CGAACGCUGGCGGCGUGCUUAACACAUGCAAGUCGAACGAGAAAGGAUUCUUCGGAAUCCGAGUAAAGUGGCGCACGGGUGAGUAACGCGUAGAUAAUCUAUCCUUGUGUUUGGGAUAACCCUUCGAAAGGGGGACUAAUACCGGAUACAUAGAUACCUGUAGGGGUAUCUAGGAAAGGUGGCCUCUAUUUAUAAGCUAUCGCACGGGGAGGAGUCUGCGUACCAUUAGCUAGUUGGUGGGGUAAGAGCUUACCAAGGCAACUAUGGUUAGCGGGUCUGAGAGGAUGAUCCGUCACACUGGCACUGAAACACGGGCCAGACUCCUACGGGAGGCAGCAGUGAGGAAUAUUGCGCAAUGGGGGAAACCCUGACGCAGCGACGCCGCGUGAGUGAGGAAGGCCUUCGGGUCGUAAAGCUCUGUCAGUAGGGAAGAAAUGCAUAUAGGUUAAUACCCUUUAUGUUUGACGGUACCUACAAAGGAAGCACCGGCUAACUCC